rnacentral:rRNA from 1 species
GAUGAACGCUGGCGGCGUGCCUAAUACAUGCAAGUCGAGCGAACGGACGAGAAGCUUGCUUCUCUGAUGUUAGCGGCGGACGGGUGAGUAACACGUGGAUAACCUACCUAUAAGACUGGGAUAACUUCGGGAAACCGGAGCUAAUACCGGAUAAUAUUUUGAACCGCAUGGUUCAAAAGUAAGAGACGGUCUUGCUGUCACUUAUAGAUGGAUCCGCGCUGCAUUAGCUAGUUGGUAAGGUAACGGCUUACCAAGGCAACGAUGCAUAGCCGACCUGAGAGGGUGAUCGGCCACACUGGAACUGAGACACGGUCCAGACUCCUACGGGAGGCAGCAGUAGGGAAUCUUCCGCAAUGGGCGAAAGCCUGACGGAGCAACGCCGCGUGAGUGAUGAAGGUCUUCGGAUCGUAAAACUCUGUUAUUAGGGAAGAACAUAUGUGUAAGUAACUGUGCACAUCUUGACGGUACCUAAUCAGAAAGCCACGGCUAACUACGUGCCAGCAGCCGCGGUAAUACGUAGGUGGCAAGCGUUAUCCGGAAUUAUUGGGCGUAAAGCGCGCGUAGGCGGUUUUUUAAGUCUGAUGUGAAAGCCCACGGCUCAACCGUGGAGGGUCAUUGGAAACUGGAAAACUUGAGUGCAGAAGAGGAAAGUGGAAUUCCAUGUGUAGCGGUGAAAUGCGCAGAGAUAUGGAGGAACACCAGUGGCGAAGGCGAUUUUCUGGUCUGUAACUGACGCUGAUGUGCGAAAGCGUGGGGAUCAAACAGGAUUAGAUACCCUGGUAGUCCACGCCGUAAACGAUGAGUGCUAAGUGUUAGGGGGUUUCCGCCCCUUAGUGCUGCAGCUAACGCAUUAAGCACUCCGCCUGGGGAGUACGACCGCAAGGUUGAAACUCAAAGGAAUUGACGGGGACCCGCACAAGCGGUGGAGCAUGUGGUUUAAUUCGAAGCAACGCGAAGAACCUUACCAAAUCUUGACAUCCUUUGACAACUCUAGAGAUAGAGCCUUCCCCUUCGGGGGACAAAGUGACAGGUGGUGCAUGGUUGUCGUCAGCUCGUGUCGUGAGAUGUUGGGUUAAGUCCCGCAACGAGCGCAACCCUUAAGCUUAGUUGCCAUCAUUAAGUUGGGCACUCUAAGUUGACUGCCGGUGACAAACCGGAGGAAGGUGGGGAUGACGUCAAAUCAUCAUGCCCCUUAUGAUUUGGGCUACACACGUGCUACAAUGGACAAUACAAAGGGCAGCGAAACCGCGAGGUCAAGCAAAUCCCAUAAAGUUGUUCUCAGUUCGGAUUGUAGUCUGCAACUCGACUACAUGAAGCUGGAAUCGCUAGUAAUCGUAGAUCAGCAUGCUACGGUGAAUACGUUCCCGGGUCU